AGAGUUUGAUCCUGGCUCAGGAUGAACGCUGGCGGAAUGCUUAACACAUGCAAGUCGAACGGUCUCUUCGGAGAUAGUGGCGGACGGGUGAGUAACGCGUGAGAACAUGCCUUUAGAUUGGGGACAACAGUUGGAAACGACUGCUAAUACCGAAUGUGCCUUAGGGUGAAAGAUUUAUUGUCUAGAGAUUGGCUCGCGUCAGAUUAGCUAGUUGGAGUGGUAACGGCACACCAAGGCGACGAUCUGUACUUGGUCUGAGAGGAUGACCAGGCACACUGGAACUGAGACACGGUCCAGACUCCUACGGGAGGCAGCAGUGGGGAAUUUUCCGCAAUGGGCGAAAGCCUGACGGAGCAAUACCGCGUGAGGGAGGACGGCUUUUGGGUUGUAAACCUCUUUUAUCAGGGAAGAAUCGAUGACGGUACCUGAUGAAUCAGCAUCGGCUAACUCCGUGCCAGCAGCCGCGGUAAUACGGAGGAUGCAAGCGUUAUCCGGAAUUAUUGGGCGUAAAGCGUCCGUAGGUGGUUUAUCAAGUCUGCUGUCAAAGCGUGCGGCUUAACCGCAUAAGGGCAGUGGAAACUGAUGAACUAGAGUGCGAUAGGGGUAACAGGAAUUCCCAGUGUAGCGGUGAAAUGCGUAGAUAUUGGGAAGAACACCAGCGGCGAAAGCGUGUUACUGGGUCCGCACUGACACUGAGGGACGAAAGCUAGGGGAGCGAAAGGGAUUAGAUACCCCUGUAGUCCUAGCCGUAAACGAUGACACUAGCGUGGUCGUAUCGACCCGAGCCGUGCCGUAGCCAACGCGUUAGUUGUUCCGCCUUGGGGGGAGUUACGCACAGCCAAGGGUGAAACUCAAAGGAAUUGACGG
rnacentral:rRNA from 1 species